UACGUAGGGUGCAAGCGUUGUCCGGAAUUAUUGGGCGUAAAGAGCUCGUAGGCGGUUUGUCGCGUCGUUCGUGAAAACUCACAGCUUAACUGUGAGCUUGCGGUCGAUACGGGCAGGCUAGAGUUCGGUAGGGGAGACUGGAAUUCCUGGUGUAGCGGUGAAAUGCGCAGAUAUCAGGAGGAACACCGGUGGCGAAGGCGGGUCUCUGGGCCGAUACUGACGCUGAGGAGCGAAAGCGUGGGGAGCGAACAGG
rnacentral:rRNA from 1 species